rnacentral:rRNA from 1 species
GUUUGAUCCUGGCUCAGAACGAACGCUGGCGGCAGGCCUAACACAUGCAAGUCGAGCGCGCCUUUCGGGGUGAGCGGCGGACGGGUUAGUAACGCGUGGGAAUAUGCCCUUUGGUACGGAAUAGCCUCUGGAAACGGAGAGUAAUACCGUAUGCGCCCUUCGGGGGAAAGAUUUAUCGCCAAAGGAUUAGCCCGCGUUAGAUUAGGUAGUUGGUGGGGUAAUGGCCUACCAAGCCUACGAUCUAUAGCUGGUUUUAGAGGAUGAUCAGCAACACUGGGACUGAGACACGGCCCAGACUCCUACGGGAGGCAGCAGUGGGGAAUCUUGGACAAUGGGGGCAACCCUGAUCCAGCCAUGCCGCGUGAGUGAUGAAGGCCUUAGGGUCGUAAAGCUCUUUCGCCUGUGAAGAUAAUGACGGUAGCAGGUAAAGAAACCCCGGCUAACUCCGUGCCAGCAGCCGCGGUAAUACGGAGGGGGUUAGCGUUGUUCGGAAUUACUGGGCGUAAAGCGCACGUAGGCGGAUCGGAAAGUUGGGGGUGAAAUCCCGGGGCUCAACCCCGGAACUGCCUCCAAAACUAUCGGUCUAGAGUUCGAGAGAGGUGAGUGGAAUUCCGAGUGUAGAGGUGAAAUUCGUAGAUAUUCGGAGGAACACCAGUGGCGAAGGCGGCUCAUCGGCUUNNUACUGACGGUGAGGUGCGAAAGUGUGGGGAGCAAACAGGAUUAGAUACCGGGGUAGUC